rnacentral:rRNA from 1 species
AAUAGAUACCCGGGUAGUCCAUGCCGUAAACGUUGGGCACUAGGUGUGGGGCUCAUUCCACGAGUUCCGUGCCGCAGCAAACGCAUUAAGUGCCCCGCCUGGGGAGUGCGGCCGCAAGGCUAAAACUCAAAGGAAUUGACGGGGGCCCGCACAAGCGGCGGAGCAUGCGGAUUAAUUCGAUGCAACGCGAAGAACCUUACCAAGGCUUGACAUGCACGGGAAGCCACCAGAGAUGGUGGUCUCUUUGGACACUCGUGCACAGGUGGUGCAUGGUUGUCGUCAGCUCGUGUCGUGAGAUGUUGGGUUAAGUCCCGCAACGAGCGCAACCCUCGUCCCAUGUUGCCAGCGGGUUAUGCCGGGGACUCAUGGGAGACUGCCGGGGUCAACUCGGAGGAAGGUGGGGAUGACGUCAAAUCAUCAUGCCCCUUAUGUCUUGGGCUUCACGCAUGCUACAAUGGCCGGUACAAAGGGCUGCGAUGCCGUAAGGUGGAGCGAAUCCCAAAAAGCCGGUCUCAGUUCGGAUUGGGGUC